UACGGGGGGAGCAAGCGUUGUUCGGAUUUACUGGGCGUAAAGGGCGCGUAGGCGGCGUAACAAGUCACUUGUGAAAUCUCCGGGCUUAACCCGGAGCGGCCAAGUGAUACUGUUGUGCUAGAGUGCGGAAGGGGCUACUGGAAUUCUCGGUGUAGCGGUGAAAUGCGUAGAUAUGUGGAGGAACACCGAUGGCGAAGGCAGCCCCCUGGGCCUGCACUGACGCUCAUGCACGAAAGCGUGGGGAGCAAACAGG
rnacentral:rRNA from 1 species